AAACUGUGAGUGCAAUAGACAAUCAGUGGUGUGACAGAACGUUUGGUAUAUAAGACAGUGAUUUGACAUUUGAACUCUCUUUUCCCAUAUUUCUUCUCGUCGUGCGAAGUGUUUGCUAAACAAUGUAAUUUUGUAAUACAAAAUAAUUUUGUCUCUC